AUGAGAAAGAGCUAUGUCCAAUCAUCAAGCACCAACCAAGAGAAGAAAAACCCUUCAUCAUCUUCAUCAACUUCAUCAUUUUCAUCAUCUUCAUCAUCACAUGAGACAGAGAAGAAAGCAAUCACUCAUCAAACAAGAAAGCUAGAGAGGUUGCCAAGUGAAGAAGAUAUCAAUGCAAGUGCUGAUGCUUUCAUUAAGAACUUUAGAAAGCAGCUUAGGCUUCAAAGGCUUCAAUCUAUUGAGAAUUAUGAAAAAAUGCUUGCUAGGGGACGAUAG